CUGGUACUAUCAACCCUGUGGGGCUAUUAACCCCCAGGUCUUACUCCCAGAUGACAGGAGUUUACAAUCCGAAGACCGUCAUCCUCCACGCGGCGUUGCACCAUCAGGGUUUCCCCCAUUGUGA
rnacentral:rRNA from 1 species